ACUACUAGAACAUAGUAUAGGUAGCCAACUUGAAGCUCGCGAGUCACACGUGAUUCUCGUCAUUGUAUUAGCUUGUAAAAAAUUAUCAAAUUAUAUAAAAUGUGCCUACAAACAUUUUGGCUCUCGGUAUCAUUGUAUUUAUCUGUGUGGCCCGCGAACCUAUCAUCAUGUUGGCCACCCUUGUACUAAAAUUCUACUUCUAAAAUAAGAGCAAUAAUUACCAACAGACAAUUGAUUAAUUUAAAUCAUCUUUCAACGAAGAUGGUAUGUUGUAUUGUUGCGGUUAUUACAAAAAUGAUGCCAGCGUUAAUGUAUUUCAUAAAUGACCUAAAUAAUUUCUUAAUUAUAAUAAUGAG